rnacentral:lncRNA from 1 species
AGAAAAUCUACCUUUUGAUACCUUUAGGUGGAGAAGUAUAUAUAUGUAUAGAGCAAGAAAAUUAUAUUAGCAAGCAAAAUAGAAGUGUAUACUAGUCAACAACUAGGACUUCUCAUGUAUGACCUUUUUGUUAAAUAUUCUUUCAAUUUGUAACAAUGCAAGCAAAAUAGAACUGUAUACUAGUCAACAAUUAGGACUUCUCAUAUAUGACCUUUUUGUUAAAUAUUCUUUCAAUUUGUAACAAUUCAACAAAAAUAUAUUCAUAUUUCUUCCUAUAUUAUUCCGAGACAGUAAAAAG